AGUUUUCCAGAUGAUCUCUUUGAUGGAUGCCCAGUUACCCCAGUAAAAAAAAUGAAGACAUAGAACUGGCAGUUCUGUGAUUCUUGGAUCAGAGUGUGAGAGCCCAUCUUCAGCACAGCUCAAAGAGUUAUUUACAAGUAUUUGUGUGGAAAGGGCAGUCUUGGCCUGAUGAAAUGUUCAUGGAGCAGCAGCAUGUACAGAAAACUUUGCCUCUUUUGUCAAGCUGUUGUCACCUGAGCAGCAAUGCAUCGCUUCCACUCCAGAAGAGAGAGAGUCAGUGGAGCUGAGCUUCUAAGGACUCCUUCCUUCAGAGCAGCAGUCAUGUCCAGAAACCUUUUGGGUUUUAAGAAAAAAGGUGGUGAGCUGCCGGGGGGUUUGUGUGUUUGUGCUGUGCCAGAUGGGUCUGGCUGUGCCUCCCACCACUCUGGGCUGGACUCUGACACCUGUCCUGAGGGGGAAGCUGGGGCUGGCCUCUAUGGCACAUCGCAAGGAGCCCUUUACUGGACGCUGGGGAAGAAGGACAUUUCUGAGUCACGUGAGCUGGGAAAGCUUCUGGUGGCAGUCAUUUCACUGCUGACUCUCAAAUGUUUCACACCCUGCUAG
rnacentral:lncRNA from 1 species